AAAAACCUGAAAUGAGAGCGCUUAAGGACAAUGAGAAGUUUGAUGCAUAGACUGGAAUCGGCCGCCUUUGUAUAUAUAAGUCUGCAUCUUCCCAGAUUUGACCAAAGACGUUUAUUCGAUGCUGUGAAUGACGUUUUGCUGCAGGCCUUUAAGUCUCACACAAGUUGCUGGUUCAGUCACAUGAAUGGUCAGUGGAAUUCACAAGAGUCACUGGAAAAAUUAGGAAAACCAGUUGAAGUUGCUCAGUUUCUAAAUGCAAAACCAGAAAGUGUGGUGACCUCAAGGACAAAUGAUGAUUUGAAUAGAGCUAUAGGAUGGUUACUUUU